ACCCCCAGUGGCACAAUGGGUCAGUGCAUCUGGCUGUUAAUCAAGCUGGUGGUUCAAGCCCACCUAGGGAUG